UUAUAGGACAGCAAAAUUGUAUCUACUAUUAUUCUUUUCCUGUGUAAUGAAUCGUAUAAAUAGCAAAAUCAUUUGAUAGGUAUUAUUUUAAUGAAUCACGAUGAUCUCGUUUGUGGUUCUUCUCUUAAUAUGUGUCAAGUUCGGUGUCUCUCACUCUCUGUACGGCUGAAGUGGCUAUGGAUUCCAAAAUACUGUACGCGCGCCAUCUUCUGACGACAAGCGUAAUAGCUAAAAUAUGCCUGCCGUAUUGACCCGCUGUUGUACAAAUUCCUGUUAAAUAAAGUCAAUGUAAUGUGA
rnacentral:lncRNA from 1 species